rnacentral:rRNA from 1 species
AGUGAACGCUGGCGGCAGGCCUAACACAUGCAAGUCGAACGGCAGCACAGGGGUAGCAAUACCCUGGGUGGCGAGUGGCGGACGGGUGAGGAAUACGUCGGAAUCUGCCUAUUUGUGGGGGAUAACGUAGGGAAACUUACGCUAAUACCGCAUACGCCCUACGGGGAAAGCGGAGGACCUUCGGCUUCGCGCAGAUAGAUGAGCCGACGUCGGAUUAGCUAGUUGGCGGGGUAAAGGCCCACCAAGGCGACGAUCCGUAGCUGGUCUGAGAGGAUGGUCAGCCACACUGGAAC